rnacentral:rRNA from 1 species
AUGAUCCUAAAUCUAGAUACAAAGAAAAAAAAUGAGGGAUGCAACAAAAAUGGUAACGAAGGGGAUGAUGACCCUAUUGAUGCAAAGGAGGAAGAAAGUGUGGAAUCUGAUGAAUUAGAGGAUAACACAUUGCUGACUGAGACUAUGGCUGUGGAGGCUUACAACAAAGAAAAAAUGCAGGGGUCUCGGGCAAUGCUGGGUAUUGAUGAUACCAAUCAUAAUGCUGAUGAGAUUCGGGUGGUGGAAAUUGAGGGAGAGGACCUUUCCAAGUUGGGGAAAUCAGAAUAUCUAGUACAAUAUCCUACCUCUUCUUCUAAGGAUGUGGGAGAGGUGAUCCCUACUCCUCCCCUUUUGUCUGAAGAGGUCCAGAGAUUUAGCUUGAGGAACUUGUAG